rnacentral:tRNA from 3 species
GUCGGGAUAGCUCAGCAGGUAGAGCAGAGGACUGAAAAUC